GUACCAUCUUAAGGGCCGCCCUGCGGGAGUGUAUCAUCUUUGUCAGUGCAGGUAGUGCAGCGCAGUCAGCGUGGGGUUGUCAGCGCAGUCGGUGCAGCGUAGUCAGCGCAAGGUUGUCAACGCAGAUCACUUGAGUCUUCCCAGCACAGGUUAUCUAAGCCCUUAUUAUCUUUAAUGAUGUUCGACGAAUCAAAAGGAAUAAUUGCUAUCUCUUUUAUCUCAGCUUAUUUCCAGCAUUAAAAUACUUUGUCUUUAUCAUUUUUGCAAAGAUUGACAGUUCUUGUCUAAAAAGUCGCAGGGAAUCGUGUAUGCUUAAUUGACACGGGAGAGCAGCACAGCGCUGACUUCACACCACACACCACUAGUUGAACAAAGAGAACGCUGUUCAACUAGACUAGGGGGGGUGUAGCUGAUGAGGACUGUAAUUCCCAUCAGCGCUGUGCUUAGCAAUCUAAGCCUAUUUUACCUUAUUAUUACUAUUAUUAUUAUUAUUACAGAAACUAACAGCGCAGGUACGAUCGGAUA
rnacentral:lncRNA from 1 species